rnacentral:rRNA from 1 species
GCAUAAUCACUUGCUUCUUAAUUAGAGGCUAGAAUGAACGGACAAACGAAAAUUUCCCUGUCUCAAUUAUAUAAAUGAAAAUUAACCUCUAGGUGAAGAGGCCUAGAUUAUUUUAUAAGACAAGAAGACCCUGUCGAGCUUCAUCAUUUAAUUUCUUUAUAAAUAAAGAUAAAUACUUUGAUUUUGUUGGGGCGACAAAGGAAAAAUCUAAAUUUCCUAUAAACACUAGAUCUCACAUCUUCUAACUGACCCACACUCAUGAUCAUAGAAGUUAGCUACCGCAGGGAUAACAGUCUAAUUUUCCCCAAGAGCCCAAAUCUAAGAGAAAAAUUAG